rnacentral:rRNA from 1 species
UNAUUUAAGGUCUAAUCUGCCCACUGAUUUUUAAAUGGCCGCAGUAAUUUGACUGUGCUAAGGUAGCAUAAUAAUUAGUUUUUUAAUUGAAAGCUGGAAUGAAUGAUUGGAUGAGAUAAAAACUGUCUCAAUUUUAUUUUUAAAGAAUUUUAUUUUUAAGUUAAAAAGCUUAAAUUAUAUUAAUAGACGAGAAGACCCUAUAGAGUUUUAUAAAAAAAUAAAGAUUUGUUUUUUUAUAUAAAUAAUAAUUUUUUAUUUUUUUAUUUUGUUGGGGUGACAAAAAAAUUUAAUAAACUUUUUUUUUUAAAAUUCAUAAAUAAAUGAUUAUAUGAUCCAUUAUUAAGGAUUAUAAAAUUAAAUUACCUUAGGGAUAACAGCGUAAUUUUUUUUANAGUUCUUAUCGAAAAAAAANAUUGNNACCUCGAUGUUGGAUUAAAAUAAAGUUUUGGUGAAAAAGCUAAAAUUUUAAGUCUGUUCGACUUUUAAUAUUUUACAUGAUCUGAGU